AACGAACGCUGGCGGCGUGCCUAACACAUGCAAGUCGAACGGGGAUAGGGAGCUUGCUUCCUAUUCUAGUGGCGCACGGGUGAGUAACGCGUGGAUAAUCUGCCUGACGAUCUGGGAUAACAUCUCGAAAGGGGUGCUAAUACCGGAUAAGCCCACGGGGACUUUGGUUCUUGCGGGAAAAGGGGGGGAGCUUUUGGCCUUCUGUCGUCAGAUGAGUCCGCGUACCAUUAGCUAGUUGGUAGGGUAAAGGCCUACCAAGGCUACGAUGGUUAGCUGGUUUGAGAGAAUGAUCAGCCACACUGGAACUGAGACACGGUCCAGACUCCUACGGGAGGCAGCAGUGGGGAAUUUUGCGCAAUGGGCGAAAGCCUGACGCAGCAACGCCGCGUGAGUGAUGAAGGCUUUCGGGUCGUAAAGCUCUGUCAGGGGGAAAGAAGUGUAUUAUGGUUAAUACCCAUGAUACUUGACGGUACCCCCAAAGGAAGCACCGGCUAACUCCGUGCCAGCAGCCGCCGUAAUAC
rnacentral:rRNA from 1 species